UAAAUUAAAACUUUCAACAACGGAUCUCUUGGCUCUGGCAUCGAUGAAGAACGCAGCGAAAUGCGAUAAGUAAUGUGAAUUGCAGAAUUCAGUGAAUCAUCGAAUCUUUGAACGCACAUUGCGCCCGCCAGUAUUCUGGCGGGCAUGCCUGUUCGAGCGUCAUUACAACCCUCAGGCCCCCGGGCCUGGCGUUGGGGAUCGGCGGAAGCCCCCUGCGGGCACAACGCCGUCCCCCAAAUACAGUGGCGGUCCCGCCGCAGCUUCCAUUGCGUAGUAGCUAACACCUCGCAACUGGAGAGCGGCGCGGCCGACGCCGUAAACCACCUAACUUCUGAAUGUUGACCUCGAAUCAGGUAGGAAUACCCGCUGAACUUAAGCAUAUCAAUAAGCGGAGGAAAAGAAACCAACAGGGAUUGCCCCAGUAACGGCGAGUGAAGCGGCAACAGCUCAAAUUUGAAAUCUGGCUCUCGGGCCCGAGUUGUAAUUUGUAGAGGAUGCUUUUGGUGAGGUGCCUUCCGAGUUCCCUGGAAGGGGACGCCAUAGAGGGUGAGAGCCCCGUCUGGUUGGACACCGAUCCUCUGUAAAGCUCCUUCGACGAGUCGAGUAGUUUGGGAAUGCUGCUCUAAAUGGGAGGUAUAUGUCUUCUAAAGCUAAAUACCGGCCAGAGACCGAUAGCGCACAAGUAGAGUGAUCGAAAGGUGAAAAGAACUUUGAAAAGAGAGUUAAAAAGUACGUGAAAUUGUUGAAAGGGAAGCGCUUGUGACCAGACUUGGGCUUGGUUGAUCAUCCGGGGUUCUCCCCGGUGCACUCUUCCGGCUCAGGCCAGCAUCAGUUCGCCCUGGGGGAUAAAGGCUUCGGGAAUGUGGCUCUCUCCGGGGAGUGUUA
rnacentral:rRNA from 1 species